UCAGAUUCUUAUACUCUUGAAUGCUAUAGUGUUUUUUGGUAACUAUGUGGUAAUUAUGAUAACUCUGGUUGUUACACUCUUGACAGUUUCUUUGGAAUUAUGAUGACAGUAUGGUUAACCUUGGUUGUUAUACUAUUGUCCAUUUUCUUAUUAAAUUUUGAGCAUGAUUUCGAAAUCACAGUUUCCUUUCUUUUUCCCUGUUUUGGGCAGGAAGCAGAUGAUGGAUAAUGUUCUGCUGUGGUGAAAGGGAAUUGUUCUGAAUCUUUCACUUGUAUUAUUAAUCACCACUUUAACAGCAGGUACAUUAGCAACUAUGGUUAUAAAUGCUUGCAUAAUAAAAUGAGGGUUGACAAAAUCUUGUAGUGUUUACUACUUAAUAAACAAAUGUAUUGUUGUUUAUGUACAGUAAGAUAUCUGUCCAUGUAUCCUGUGUUCUAGGUUGAAAUUUUUGUGCAAACUCACUGGUCAAAGAAGGAUUUUGAUUUCUUUUUCUAGCAGUUUUGUUACCAUGGAUUCAUCACAAGAUCAUAAUUUGGAAAUGUACACUACAGAUUCGUCCAUCACAGCUAAGGAGGAUGCACAGACUUGCUUUUAUGUUUUAUGUUUUAUGCACAAGGCAGCAUGAAAUAACUGCAUUUCUGCACUUUGAAUUGCAUUCUCUUCUAAGAUUACACACAGUUUUCUUUCUUCCUCACAGAUCACCCAGCAUCACUCCCUGUCUCUGUUCUGACUUCAUUAUUAGCUUUUCAGUGAAGUGUGGCUGUAGAGCACUGUGGUACGGUUCAUGGAUAUUUAGAAUUUCUCUCAUUAAACAGCUUUAAUGAGCGAAAUAUUUAGUACAGAAACCAAUAGGUCAAAUAAGGCUAGUCAACUAGUGUUGAUUUUGGAAUUGGCGCUUUUUAAACGAAUGGGUGCAUCUUUCAUCCAUCUGCAGUGAAAGAUAUUGAGAUAAUUGGUAUAAUUAAAGCUAAGCAAACAUUUCAUCCUUUGCAUCUUUGUAUUCAGUUAAAAAAAUUCUUUAGUAUGUCGUUAACCAAGCAGAAUGUUCUAGAAAAGGUUCAGUGCCACUGUCCAGCAUUGCUAGAAGUGGCGAUCCAGUUGGCUUAGGUCCAGUUGGCAGAGGACUAUUUGGCAUGCAAGCCCCCUCUCUCUCUCUCUGUCUCUCUCUCUCUUAGCUUCUCCUUCCCUUGCCUCCUUGGAAACAGUGGGCCAUCCCCCUAAGUCUGGUUUCCCAAAAACAGACAUCCCCUCCUUCUUCCCCCAUGUUUGUUUCCUCUUCCCCACAGGCGCACACACAGGUGUAGAAGUAAUUCUAUUAGCAUUUUAAGGCACUUCCAGGACCAGCGCAACGUGAUGGAGGUGUGGCAUAUUGACUGAUCAAGCCUUAUAUUCCAAUGAGGUAACCCAGGGAUCUUCAUAUGAAUAGUUCAGGAGGAAUCUCAGAGAGAAAUGGCAUGAAAUAUUCGUUUGCAUGAAGGAUACAUUGUGGGCCCCAAUGGCACUAGGAGAAAAAAUGAAAAGAAGAAGAAGAAGAAAGGAUAGAGCAGAGAGGACUGACCCAGAGGACAAGAUAUAUUCAAAAUACACUCACCUCUUAAUCUCAUUUAUUUCUCCUAGACAUGGUGCUGAGAUUUGUGUCCUCUGAGACCUGUGUCACUCUCUGAUUAAACAGCAGUACUGCUGGUUUCUUCUCUUGUGUACCUGAGACACCUGGGAUACACGUUAAACUCUAACCUGGACUAAAUCGAUGAAAAAAAACAACAGAAAUAAAGGACGAAAUAAAAAAGAAAGAAAUUAAAAACUAUAAAGACCCAUUGAGAUGAAAGAAAGAAAGAAAGUGUCAGGAAUAGUUCUUUGCCAGACCACUAGGUGGGCUAGGCAAAUGGUUUAUUCAUGUAUACAUUGUUGUUUUCUUGUGGGUGGUGUCAUGCCCUUUCUUAAUGUGUCUUCCCGCUUUGUUACCUGUUUCUUGUUACCCUUAAAGCACUGCUCUAUAUAUGUUUGUCCUAUUCUCUUGAUUAUUGAGUCAUUAUUUGCGAUAUCACAUUGUGUGUGAGUCGUAUGCCUGGGUGCAGCGUUACUCAGGUAAUUAUGUUUCCAUAUCAUAGUUAUGAUUUGUCCUUGUUACAUUUCAAGUAAUAUUUCAAGUUUUGGUAGUUUUUGUGUGUUAAAUAAAAACAGUGCACACACUGUAUCCUGCAAGUGGGUCUGAACUGCAGAAACCAAGAGAUCGACACAACAGUGCAGACUCGGGCUUGGUCCCUGCCAUCAACAGUGUUCGUCCCCACAUGUUAGAUAAAGAAAGAAAGUUUGGAGAAAGAAAGAAAACACAGACAUUACAAGGCUAUAUGAAGGACCAAAAAAAAAAAAUAUGAACAAUGGACAAUUAAAUUAAACUAGGAAACAGAAAAAAAGGAAUGUAAAGGCAAAACGUUAAGGGAAAAUGGAAAACUGAAAUAAAUAUGGAUCUAAAGCACACCAUCUCUUGAUCUUAUUUGGUACAAAGUGUGUGAUUAGCAAUUAGCUUAUAUUCAUUUUUUCUAUUCAUUAUAAGGUGUUAGAUAAUUAUGUGUAUAAUUGGAGUGUAAUUAUAUGUGCGAGUUUAAUUGGCUCUGGUGCUGAUGGAGGUCAUGCUGCUGUUUUACUCCCCACAUGAUGAGCAGGUUUGUGAGGCUCCGCAUUCUCUGUUAUUAAAUAACUCACUGUUAACAGCUUUUCUUCUACCUGUAAAAAGGAAUGCUUAAAUAAUCGCUGGGCUGAUGCAUAUUCAUUCCCAGCAUCAAGUGAGUUUCGGCAUCCAUCAUCAUAACCUUUGAUACAGAAGCGAUUCAUCACCCAACGCAUAAAAUCCAAUAUGUAGAUCUCAGUUCUCCAGCACGAGAUCGAUUAUGAGGUGAAAUAUGACAUUUAGAGUAUUAAUAUAAAUAAUUGUGUAUUGCUUUUUCGGCUUUGUGGCACUUGAACAGUUUUUAAAUGUUUCUUUGUGUACCGAAAUGGAACAGUUGGAGUUUAAAGGCCAGGAGGUGUGGCCUGAGGUGGAGCAAGAGUUGGAACCAAUCAGAGGCUGUGGCCUAUAAAUAGCACUAGUUUAUGUUACCUCAGGUGCUUGAGUAAAUAUAACAGCUUGUUAGCUAAUAGCAAAUAAAGCUAAGUUCUAACUCGACAAGUACUGGAAAAUCUUAACUGAACAGAACUAGCUAUCUAGUAACUUCAGAAAAACACACAAUAAUAGAGAAAGCUUGUGUUCAUAAAGGUGCUGCAGAAUGGUAGCUAAACAAAAAUAGCUAGCUAAUAGUGCUAAAAGUGUAAAAUUUAUAGCUAAACAUGUGUAAUAUAUAGCUUAUUUUACCACAAUUACUGGAGUAAACAUGACAACUAGCAAACUAAUAGCUCCAGAAAAAAAAAAAUAGGUAGGGUAUAGAGCCUGUUCAUAUUACUAAAUGUGCUGAAAGAAACAUAACAACUAGCAAGGUAAUAUCUCCAGAAUAGUGGGCAAUAAAUAAAGCUAACGUGUUACCACAGGUGCUGUGGAAUAUAAAACAGAAAUAGCUAACUAAGAUCUCCUAAACAGUAGGUAAUAAAUAUAAAACUGUCUUUACACAGGUGCUGGAGUAAACAUGAUAGCUACCAAGCUAAUAGCUAAUAUUAAAUAGCUUUAAAUAGUUUACUCCAGUGUGCUGGACAAAAUAUAAUACUCAAAGUGAAUAGUACCAGAAAAUUGGGCACUAUUUAGAAUUAACUUUACCACAGGUGAUAAAUAAAUAUAAUAGCUAGCAAGCUAAUUGCUUCAGUAAAGCAGGUACUAAAUAUAGCAAUGAUUGUGUUAACACAGAUGCUUGAGAAUAUUAGUUAAAUAGAAAUAGCUAACUAAAGGUUCCAGACAAGUGAGUACAAAAUAGAACUAGCUUUUGUUACCUCAGGUGGUUGAGUAAACAUAAUAGUUGGCAAGAUAAUAACUACAGAAAAAAACAUGUAGUAAAUAGAGGUAGCUUAUGUGCUGAAGAAUGUUAGCAAAACAGAAAUAGCUAACCAAUAGCUCCAAAAUAGGACUAACUGAUGUUUCCACUUGAAUGCCCCAUGUCAUUGGUUUGGUUGAGGAGGAAUGCUGUGCUGUGACCAUCUCCUUUUUAUCCACCACCUCUAGAUCUUCUCAUUCCAAUAAUUUAGGCCAACACAGAAGACCGAAUCUGGUUGAAACCAUGAAAAAAGCACUGUGAGCUCCAUCUGCAGUUCUCUCAGAUGGAGAUCAUCCUGUCUGCCAUCACACAGCAAAUUCUGGAAAAGUGAAUGAAUGAAGAGUGUGAUUUGUUUUGAAGAGUAAUCAUCUUCAUGUAAGAUUUGUCUAUUCUGGUCUAUUUUUGUGUGAUGCAGUUCAUUUCACCUCUAAGGCAAAUUAGAUUUUUUUAUUUGAUAUUAUUUGCAAAUAAUAUUUUUUACCUGACUGCCUGAAAGCCUUAAUUAACCCUUGAUGGCUGAUCGAAAUAUAUUAAAGCAGCAGUCCAGCUUUUUAAACCUUACAUGCUUUUUGAUGUAUUUAACUUCGAUCAUAUAAUGAUAAUGAUGGUCAGCGAUCAACAAUGUUUUAUCUCCAAACUUUCUCAAAACGACCAUCGUGAUCAUAUUUCAGCAUCACUGUGGUCAUCCAUAUAGUCUCUCUUUUAAUCAGACUGCAAUCUGUAACCAUCAAAACACAGCUGACUUCAAAUAAAUAGCCGAUAAAAAAGUGUUAUGGUUGAUCAGAAAUCUUCCACAGUCUACUGCACUGUCACCUACCUUUCCAAUGUGCUCCAUCAACACAUGCAGGAAACCCCACUGGGCCACUUUCAAGCUCAAAAAACAAUAAAGGUAGCGUGAAAUUAAUUCAUAUGGCUCAAUUGGUAUUUUCCAAGUCUUCUGAAGUGACACAAUUAAUUUGAUUGAUGAACAGAUUAAAAUUAAGCCUUGAUUCACUCUCAAUUUAAUCCAAUCAACACAUGGAUUAGCACAGACAUCUAAUAUUGCAACUCAAACCUCAAAUAAUGUCAAAUCUACAGUGGAAAGAGUCUUACAAGAUUGGAAGUGAUGUCAUCAGGGCAAGUAAAUGAUGAACUGAUUCUUUAAGAGUAGAUUGAUGUGCUGAUCUCUAGAGGAAAUGGGUUUUUAUUCUUUUUAAAUGCUAUAUGUUUCAAUGAACAUGCCAAAUGAUUAAUAUGGCUGUCUUGCUCCUUCCCAGUCUG